CCUACGGGGGGCAGCAGUGGGGGAUAUUGCACAAUGGGGGAAACCCUGAUGCAGCGACGCCGCGUGAGGGAAGACGGUUUUCGGAUUGUAAACCUCUGUCUUUGGGGACGAAUUGAGACGGUACCCAAGGAGGAAGCUCCGGCUAACUACGUGCCAGCAGCCGCGGUAAUACGUAGGGAGCAAGCGUUGUCCGGAAUUACUGGGUGUAAAGGGAGCGUAGACGGCAGUGCAAGUCUGGAGUGAAAGGCGGGGGCUCAACCCCGUCCGGCCGUUGAAACUGGGGGCCUUGAGUGGGCGAGAAGAAGGCGGAAUGCGUGGUGUAGCGGUGAAAUGCAUAGAUAUCACGCAGAACCCCGAUUGCGAAGGCAGCCUUCCGGCGCCCUACUGACGCUGAGGCACGAAAGUGCGGGGAUCGAACAGGAUUAGAUACCCUGGUAGUC
rnacentral:rRNA from 1 species